UACGGAGGGUGCGAGCGUUGUUCGGAAUCACUGGGCGUAAAGCGCGUGUAGGCGGCCCACUAAGUCUGAUGUGAAAGCCCGGGGCUCACCCCCCGGAAGUGCAUUGGAAACUGGUGGACUCGAGUCCCGGAGAGGAGAGUGGAAUUCCUGGUGUAGCGGUGAAAUGCGUAGAUAUCAGGAGGAACACCGGUGGCGAAGGCGGCUCUCGUGGACGGUGACUGACGCUGAGACGCGAAAGCGUGGGGAGCAAACAGG
rnacentral:rRNA from 1 species